rnacentral:rRNA from 1 species
GUCUAUGGCCAUACCACCCUGAACGCACCUGAUCUCCUCUGAUCUCGGAAGCUAAGCAGGGUCGGGCCUGGUUACUACUUGGAUGGGGAGAAACCUGAAUCCUCUCACCU